CCGGAAUUGGAGUAUCCGCUGUAGUUUGCAACGUCUGGGUGAUGUUAUUGAGCAUCUUCAAACUCAGAAUUCCUCAUUAUGAUACUUGGUUACAAUCCAGUGUUGCAAGCUCUGCUAGGAACCUUGCUGACUUGGGGAUUGACAGCUGCUGGCUCAGCACUUGUAUUUAUCUUUUCCAGUGGGCAGAGACGAAUCCUGGAUGGGAGUCUAGGCUUUGCUGCAGGGGUAUGUAAUAACUUGAUUUAAUGUAUAAAUUAAAGUUUGCUUUGACUUAUGUGACC
rnacentral:lncRNA from 1 species